AACGAACGCUGGCGGCAUGCCUAACACAUGCAAGUCGAACGAGACCUUCGGGUCUAGUGGCGCACGGGUGCGUAACGCGUGGGAACCUGCCCUUAGGUUCGGAAUAACUCCCCGAAAGGGGUGCUAAUACCGGAUAAUUUCUUCGGACCAAAGAUUUAUCGCCUUUGGAUGGGCCCGCGUUGGUUUAGCUAGUUGGUAGGGUAAAAGCCUACGAAGGCUACGAUCCAUAGCUGGUAUGAGAGGAUGAUCAGCCACACUGGGACUGAGCAACGGCCCAGACUACUACGGGAGGCAGCAGUGGGGAAUAUUGGAAAAUGGGCGAAAGCCUGAUCCAGCAAUGCCGCGUGAGUGAUGAAGGCCUUAGGGUUGUAAAGCUCUUUUACCCGGGAUGAUACUGACAGUACCGGGAGAAUAAGCUCCGGCUAACUUCGUG
rnacentral:rRNA from 1 species